CCUGAGAAACGGCUACCACAUCCAAGGNAAGGCAGCAGGCGCGCAAAUUACCCAAUCCCGACACGGGGNAGGUAGUGACAAUAAAUAACGAUGCAGGGCCCUUUCGGGUCUUGUAAUUGGAAUGAGUACAAUGUAAAUACCUUAACGAGGAACAAUUGGAGGGCAAGUCUGGUGCCAGCAGCCGCGGUAAUUCCAGCUCCAAGAGCGUAUAUUAAAGUUGUUGCAGUUAAAAAGCUCGUAGUUGAACCUUGGAGGCGCCGUGCCGGUCCGCUUAGGCGAGCACUGGAGGCGGCGCCUCUUUCCUCCUCCUCUUAGCAAUAAGAGGAGGACUGUUACUUUGAGUAAAUGAGAGUGUUCAAAGCAGGCGCACGCUUGAAUCUGUUAGCAUGGAAUAAUAGAAUAGGACGCAUGGUUCUAUUUUGUUGGUUUCUAGGACCAUCGUAAUGAUUAAUAGGGACGGUCGGGGGCAUCAGUAUUCAGUUGUCAGAGGUGAAAUUCUUGGAUUUACUGAAGACUAACUACUGCGAAAGCAUUUGCCAAGGACGUUUUCAUUAAUCAAGAACGAAAGUUAGGGGAUCGAAGAUGAUCAGAUACCGUCGUAGUCUUAACCAUAAACUAUGCCGACUAGGGAUCGGGCGGCGUUCAUUUAGUGACGCGCUCGGCACCUUACNAGAAAUCAAAGUCUUUGGGUUCUGGGGGGAGUAUGGUCGCAAGGCUGAAACUUAAAGGAAUUGACGGAAGGGCACCACCA
rnacentral:rRNA from 1 species